AUUGAACGCUGGCGGCAUGCUUUACACAUGCAAGUCGAACGGUAACAGGCCGCAAGGUGCUGACGAGUGGCGAACGGGUGAGUAAUGCAUCGGAACGUGCCCAGUCGUGGGGGAUAACUACUCGAAAGAGUAGCUAAUACCGCAUACGAUCUAUGGAUGAAAGCGGGGGACCGUAAGGCCUCGCGCGAUUGGAGCGGCCGAUGUCAGAUUAGGUAGUUGGUGGGGUAAAGGCUCACCAAGCCAACGAUCUGUAGCUGGUCUGAGAGGACGACCAGCCACACUGGGACUGAGACACGGUCCAGACUCCUACGGGAGGCAGCAGUGGGGAAUUUUGGACAAUGGGCGCAAGCCUGAUCCAGCAAUGCCGCGUGCAGGAAGAAGGCCUUCGGGUUGUAAACUGCUUUUGUACGGAACGAAACGGCUCUGGUUAAUACCCGGGGCUAAUGACGGUACCGUAAGAAUAAGCACCGGCUAACUACGUG
rnacentral:rRNA from 1 species